AGAGUUUGAUCAUGGCUCAGAGCGAACGCUGGCGGCAGGCUUAACACAUGCAAGUCGAGCGGGCGUAGCAAUACGUCAGCGGCAGACGGGUGAGUAACGCGUGGGAACGUACCUUUUGGUUCGGAACAACCCAGGGAAACUUGGGCUAAUACCGGAUAAGCCCUUACGGGGAAAGAUUUAUCGCCGAAAGAUCGGCCCGCGUCUGAUUAGCUAGUUGGUGAGGUAAUGGCUCACCAAGGCGACGAUCAGUAGCUGGUCUGAGAGGAUGAUCAGCCACAUUGGGACUGAGACACGGCCCAAACUCCUACGGGAGGCAGCAGUGGGGAAUAUUGGACAAUGGGCGCAAGCCUGAUCCAGCCAUGCCGCGUGAGUGAUGAAGGCCCUAGGGUUGUAAAGCUCUUUUGUGCGGGAAGAUAAUGACGGUACCGCAAGAAUAAGCCCCGGCUAACUUCGUGCCAGCAGCCGCGGUAAUACGAAGGGGGCUAGCGUUGCUCGGAAUCACUGGGCGUAAAGGGUGCGUAGGCGGGUCUUUAAGUCAGGGGUGAAAUCCUGGAGCUCAACUCCAGAACUGCCUUUGAUACUGAAGAUCUUGAGUUCGGGAGAGGUGAGUGGAACUGCGAGUGUAGAGGUGAAAUUCGUAGAUAUUCGCAAGAACACCAGUGGCGAAGGCGGCUCACUGGCCCGAUACUGACGCUGAGGCACGAAAGCGUGGGGAGCAAACAGGAUUAGAUACCCUAGUAGUCC
rnacentral:rRNA from 1 species